rnacentral:rRNA from 1 species
CCCCUUAGUGCUGCAGCUAACGCAUUAAGCACUCCGCCUGGGGAGUACGGUCGCAAGACUGANACUCAAAGGAAUUGACGGGGGCCCGCACCAGCGGUGGAGCAUGUGGUUUAAUUCGNAGCAACGCGAAGAACCUUACCAGGUCUUGACAUCCUCUGACAACCCNAGAGAUAGGGCUUUCCCUUCGGGGACAGAGUGACAGGUGGUGCAUGGUUGUCGUCAGCUCGUGUCGUGAGAUGUUGGGUUAAGUCCCGCAACGAGCGCAACCCUUGAUCUUAGUUGCCAGCAUUCAGUUGGGCACUCUAAGGUGACUGCCGGUGACAAACCGGAGGAAGGUGGGGAUGACGUCAAAUCAUCAUGCCCCUUAUGACCUGGGCUACACACGUGCUACAAUGGACAGAACAAAGGGCUGCAAGACCGCAAGGUUUAGCCAAUCCCAUAAAUCUGUUCUCAGUUCGGAUCGCAGUCUGCAACUCGACUGCGUGAAGCAGGAAUCGCUAGUAAUCGCGGAUCAGCAUGCCGCGGUGAAUACGUUCCCGGGCCUUGUACACACCGCCCGUCACACCACGAGAGUUUGCAACACCCGAAGUCGGUGAGGUAACCUUUAUGG